rnacentral:rRNA from 1 species
CCUCCGGGAGGCAGCAGUGGGGAAUAUUGGACAAUGGGCGAAAGCCUGAUCCAGCAAUGCCGCGUGAGUGAUGAAGGCCUUAGGGUUGUAAAGCUCUUUUACCAGGGAUGAUAAUGACAGUACCUGGAGAAUAAGCUCCGGCUAACUCCGUGCCAGCAGCCGCGGUAAUACGGAGGGAGCUAGCGUUGUUCGGAAUUACUGGGCGUAAAGCGUGCGUAGGCGGUGAUUCAAGUCAGAGGUGAAAGCCUGGAGCUCAACUCCAGAACGGCCUUUGAAACUAGAUCGCUAGAAUUAUGGAGAGGUAAGUGGAAUUCCGAGUGUAGAGGUGAAAUUCGUAGAUAUUCGGAAGAACACCAGUGGCGAAGGCGACUUACUGGACAUAUAUUGACGCUGAGGUACGAAAGCGUGGGGAGCAAACAGGAUUAGAUACCCUGGUAGUCCACGCCGUAAACGAUGAUAACUAGCUGUUCGGGCUCUCAGAGCUUGAGUGGCGCAGCUACGACAUUAAGUUAUCCGCCGUCGGGUAGGUACGGUCGGCGAAGAAGUUAAAACGUUAAAAGGUAAAGUUAGUACGGACGUGAGACGUGCCGAACGGACGACGACGAGGGAGGUUAGG